UGAUUCAGCGGCGGACGGGUGAGUAAUGCCUAGGAAUCUGCCUGGUAGUGGGGGACAACGUUUCGAAAGGAACGCUAAUACCGCAUACGUCCUACGGGAGAAAGUGGGGGAUCUUCGGACCUCACGCUAUCAGAUGAGCCUAGGUCGGAUUAGCUAGUUGGUGAGGUAAAGGCUCACCAAGGCGACGAUCCGUAACUGGUCUGAGAGGAUGAUCAGUCACACUGGAACUGAGACACGGUCCAGACUCCUACGGGAGGCAGCAGUGGGGAAUAUUGGACAAUGGGCGAAAGCCUGAUCCAGCCAUGCCGCGUGUGUGAAGAAGGUCUUCGGAUUGUAAAGCACUUUAAGUUGGGAGGAAGGGCAGUAAGUUAAUACCUUGCUGUUUUGACGUUACCAACAGAAUAAGCACCGGCUAACUUCGUGCCAGCAGCCGCGGUAAUACGAAGGGUGCAAGCGUUAAUCGGAAUUACUGGGCGUAAAGCGCGCGUAGGUGGUUCGUUAAGUUGGAUGUGAAAGCCCCGGGCUCAACCUGGGAACUGCAUCCAAAACUGGCGAGCUAGAGUAUGGCAGAGGGUGGUGGAAUUUCCUGUGUAGCGGUGAAAUGCGUAGAUAUAGGAAGGAACACCAGUGGC
rnacentral:rRNA from 2 species